UUCCUACGGGAGGCAGCAGUGGGGAAUAUUGCACAAUGGGCGAAAGCCUGAUGCAGCAACGCCGCGUGAGUGAAGAAGGGUUUCGGCUCGUAAAGCUCUGUUGGUAGUGAAGAAAGAUAGAGGGAGUAACUGGCCUUUAUUUUACGGUAAUUACUUAGAAAGUCACGGCUAACUACGUGCCAGCAGCCGCGGUAAUACGUAGGUGGCAAGCGUUGUCCGGAUUUAUUGGGCGUAAAGCGAGUGCAGGCGGGUUACUCAAGUU
rnacentral:rRNA from 1 species